rnacentral:rRNA from 1 species
AACGAACGCUGGCGGCAGGCCUAACACAUGCAAGUCGAGCGAGGACUUCGGUCCUAGCGGCGGACGGGUGAGUAACGCGUGGGAACGUGCCCUUUGCUACGGAAUAGCCCCGGGAAACUGGGAGUAAUACCGUAUGUGCCCGCGAGGGGAAAGCUUUAUCGGCAAAGGAUCGGCCCGCGUUGGAUUAGGUAGUUGGUGGGGUAAUGGCCUACCAAGCCGACGAUCCAUAGCUGGUUUGAGAGGAUGAUCAGCCACACUGGGACUGAGACACGGCCCAGACUCCUACGGGAGGCAGCAGUGGGGAAUCUUAGACAAUGGGCGCAAGCCUGAUCUAGCCAUGCCGCGUGAGCGAUGAAGGCCUUAGGGUUGUAAAGCUCUUUCAGUGGGGAAGAUAAUGACGGUACCCACAGAAGAAGCCCCGGCUAACUCCGUGCCAACAGCCGCCGUAAUAC